rnacentral:lncRNA from 1 species
AAUCACUACGGGCUACAAGCUGUCUUCUCUGGGCCACAUUCAGCCCGUGGGCCGUGUGUUGUGCACCCCUGCACGGGUAACAGGUCAUCAUUCUUUUCCCACACAUCACAGUGAACCAGAUUGAGGCCAAUCUACCUGAUGCGUCCAGAGGACGUGGAAGGAGACGGGGGUUCGUAGAUUACAUCAUCCUAAUGGACUGGUUCAGCUCUGUUACUGCCUCAAACUGGGAAGCACCUUACAAAGCCUCAAAGAUGCUCUCUACAAGGUAACAUAACAUAGGAUGUGUGUUCCCUGCAAUGCUUCCUCAGUCAGUGUGUUUCCAUUGAGGUAAUGUGUGUUUCCAUAGAGGUAAUGUGUGUUUCCAUCGAGGUAAUGUGUGUUUCCAGAGGUUAUGUGUUUCCUAAGUCAGUGUGUUUCAUUGAGGUAAUGUGUGUUUCCUCAGUCAGUGUGUUUCAUUGA